AACAAAAAAUAGUUCUUGAAUGGUAACAGAGUGGUGAAUAAGGACUUCCUGUUGAGAUGGUUGACAACCCUUAAGAAAACCGAAUAAGCCUCCACCACUUUUAAAUGAAUAGUGUAGCUGUAUUUUGAGUACAUGCGCACAAAACAACGUAAUUUGUAAGCACCGUGGCAGUAUUGUGACAGGCUAACCGCUAGCUGCUAAUGAUGCUGAUGUAACCCAGGCUUUCCCUCUUUAAACCUGCAGCUGGCGGAAGACACCCUAUGGACUCUGCGCUGUGUUUUUGUGUGAAGGUGGGAUGUGUUCCGUGCAGAAGAGGCAUCACACACAGGGCUCAAGUUGUGGGGAAACCUUUGCGCCUUUAUUUCCUUCACCUUACAGGAAGUAAAGCACACUGUCACCAUUCAACCAGUUUUUACAAAAUAAUCAAUCAUCACCAAAACAAAUACAAUUUAAUUUGUACUUAACUGGCAAACUGAACAAACAGAAAUAGCUCGGUAAAUCAAUUUACUUAUGUUAACGUAUAUUUUACACCGGGCUAGCAGAGCUGCUGCUAACCUUACAGGCAGUACAGCACACUGUUAGGAAAAUAGCAGUUCGCGCACAAAAUACCCCCUGCACUACGGUGUCCCCGCCAGGACAAACAUGUCAGAAUUGCGGUAGUGGCAACAAUUACAUGAAACAACAGCACCCUCUUUUGGUAUAUUUAUGGAUUGCGUUAGACUAACGUUAGCUUAUUUGGUGCUACAAAGAAUUAGACUAGAAUAAAAACUACAAUAUAUGAACCAGUCGAACAUUAACUAGAAUAUUCAACCCAAUUCUUCAAAACAGUUUGUAAUUUUCAAAAUCGUUUCAUUAUUUGUGAAAACAAAACUAAAGAAUUGUUAGUUUUACUAAAAGAUAUUGCCAAAAUCUCAUAUUCACGAGCUGGAUUGUUUUGUUACGGCAGCAAAAAUAUUGCUUAAACUGCUGCAAAUGAGUGUUAAAAACUUUUAAAUGUUUUAAAGUACACUUCCUGUGUAACGUUUCUUCUGCCAUUCCUGUGCAGAGGGAGUGCUAAGCACAAAAAACCUUGAAAAUGUUCCAUUAUCCAUUCAUCCAUUACGUAACACACUUAUCCUUGCAGGAUCGAGAGGUUUGGUGCCUACAUUGCUCCAUUACUGUUUCCAAAAUUGAACAAAGGUCUCAUUAAUUUUAAUCUGUUUUUUUUUUUAAACGUCUUUGUUCUGUGUAAAAUUACGAUUUUGCGCCUUAGUUAAGCGCUCAAAAUAAGCUGCAGAGCAACUGCUAACUUCAGGGUUGUUAGUGGCUAACGGUUAGCCAGUUGAGCUAUGUUUACAAAUUGUUGUAUCUCUGCUCUUCUCUUUGUUUUUCUAUGGAAGCUCAAAAUGCUGUUGUCCGGUUCCAUAAAGUCUUCUUUUUUUUUGGUCCUAAGAGAUGAGUCAACUUUCUCAUACUGUUCCCAGCGUUUCCAUUUAUUUGCCAUGCAGCCAUGCCACACAUGAGGAGAACAGAGCACAGAAGCAAUUUAAAGACUCAACUCUUUGAAUAAACUGCUGCGACAAACAGCAGAAAGCCUGUUAUUAAGUAAGCCUCCAGAGCAGACAACGAGUGUGUCAGCGACCUUGACAGCAGAUGUGACUGCUGAAACAAUCUUUGGUUCACUGGCCUGAAACCGAACUAAACUGGACCUGCAGUGACUUUUCCUCCCUGCAGAUAAACAGCGGAUCCAGACUGUGGUUUAAAAUGAGAAGCCUCUGCAACAUUUCUUUACUUUUAUGGUUUUAGCUCUUUUUUUUUUUCUACUCUUUUGGUCCUAACAAUCUUGUACGAGGAAAUGACUAUGUAGGGAAAUCUCCUCAUUGGUGGAUAAGACACAUUCCUGAAAUUAAAGCGAAAAUGAAAAACAUGUUCCGUUUUUUCUUUUCUUUCUUUUUUUUUUUUAAUGUGAAUGUAAAUUAUGACAGAAGAAACAUAGCCAGUUUGCAUUUCAUUAAAAUAUUUGACUCGCCUGUUAUUCUGAGCUUGACACAUUCUCCGUUUCCACCCUGAAAACCUCUUAUUACCAUUUGGUGCAAGCUGUUCCGGGUGUUAUUCUAGGAUGUCUUCAAGUGUUUGAAUCGCCUCCCUUCUGCAGUGUGUCCAGAGACAAGAUCCAACUCAAGCACAAACACACACCUACAAGGUCACGCGAUGAUGACUCCUGCCGUACGGAUACCGUCACUCUUUAGGAAACGGCAGCGACGAACAUCUGUGGAUGACCUCCUCGAGUUAAAUUAAUGCAAAUGUGUAUUUAUUUACGUAGCAUGUGAGAUACUGCUAACUGAAACUUUCCACAUUUUAAUCGAAUGUAGAGGUCAGAUGUUUGCUUAAAAUUACAGAUUUCAUUCAUAUUCAGGCCAAUCUGUCAUGAGUAUGAGUUUGUCAAAAGUUUACCUCAUUAUGAAGUCUUUAGUUCCCAUGCAUGAUUUAACAGGAGGUAGUUGAAAAUAUAACUUAUACCUCGGCUGAAACGAUUAAUCAAAAAUAAUUUGAUAAAUCAAUCGUUGACAUAAUCUGCGACUAAUUUAGGAGUGGAUUAAUCGUUAACGGGAGUGUACAGACUCAGAAAAGGCUGUUGGUUGAGAGAACAACAUCGGAGCUGUAAUUAAACUAAAACUAUACAAAGAAUCUAUAUAUUUUACAUUUUAAGACAUAAAAAAAACAAAAAAAAACCUCUGUUAUGUUUUUUCUACACCAAACUCUUCAAGAAGAAUAGUUUAAGCUUAGCCCGUUUCUCAUUCUGUAAAAAUAAACUCAGAGGAAACAUCCUUUGCUAUCGAAAAAAAUAAUCAACUAAUCAGCACUAUGCUACCGAUGUUAAGUAAAAUCUUGACGUUCGGUUGUCUUUUACAACAAAUGAUCAAAUGUUCACCGAGUUCUAUCUUAUUGGAUUUUAGACAUUAAAAUGUUUAUUUCUUUAAUUAAAAAAUAAGUAUAAUUAUUUGUUAAGUGAUUAUAGGAAAAAAACUGCACAAUGUGGCAAUUUUCUUUUAUACAUUUAAUUGAUUAACCGUCAGAAUAAUUGACCGAAUAAUCAAUUACUAAAAUACUCGAUAGUUGCACACUAAAGCAUAUUUUAUAAAGAAAGAAGAAAUACUUUGUUAGCAGGCAGGAUGAGUGACGUGAGAUGACAGAGAAAUUUAAAGACCCAACUUAAACCAGGACAGAACAGAAAAGAGACGGAAACCCAAAGAGAUAAAAACUUACAGUCAAACUCAGACUGCUUUUUAUUAAAGUUAACGGAGUGGCUUUUAUUGGGGGAAGAAGUUUUGUAAGGGAAACUCAAACAAGAAACAUCAGUCUAUCAACUGAAGUAAACAAAAAACAUUUUCACCCUUAGCAUUUCUUUGUUUUUGUCAGACUUUUAAAAGCUCUUUUUUUCCUUUUUGUCAGAGAGAGAGAAAAAAAACCCUCAAAUUUCCCAAUGACGUCAAACAAGCCGUCUUUGAUUUGAAAAGUUCCUAACUGAGAUAAAUGAGCGUAGCGGCCGUAAAAGAAUGCUUCAGAUUGCAAUGAAAGCAUUGAUUUCUCCUUCAUGCUUUCUGUUGGAAUGAAAAAUGUCAAACUACCCUCUCUACAAAAAUUCACUGGGACUUAACAUUCAAAGUGAUGCUAAGAUGCUGUAAUAAACAGGCUUUUAAUGCCUCCUAUCAGUUUCUUUCUCUCUCUUUGAGGUCUGACCCGCCUGCUCUUACUUUGGAGCUGUAGCAGAUGCAAAUGUGUUUGUGGAAACUUUGUUUUAAGUAAUGUAAAAAAAGAACCUUCACUGCACUGAUAUACUGUAUUACAGAGCAGUUUGUUGUCUUUUUAAUGUUCAACACAUGCUCAUUAUAUACAUUCAAAUGGUCAUCCUACUCAGUUGGAUCGUGAGUCCAAUAUUUCUGUUAACGGCACUGCAGUUAUGCUGUUUAAUAUCAUUAUUACUGUUAAUCUUUUUUUUUAUAUGCAUUUUUAAUCCUCUCUGAUCUUUGUGUGAACUCAGACACUUGAAUUUCCCCACAGUGGGACAACAAAGGUCAAGGGGGGAAAAAAAUCAAAUAAAGGUAAAUUAAAAGUCUAUCAUCGCAUUGUAUAUUUUUAUGCUUUUUAUUAUUAAUUAUUUUACUAUUACUGGAGCCAUGCAAGAAAAUGAACAUGUUUAGCCCACCAGAUGCAGGUUCUGGAUCCGUCCAGUAAAAACACAACCUCAGCGACCACAGACUAAUGGACACAGACAGGGAAGAAGACGUUGAGCUCCAUCUUAAGUCCGCCUCAUUUCUUGCCUCAUGUUCUCCUUUACAACCAGCUGAAAUGUCUGAACGUCUGCGGGUGAUGUCAUGGGUUACGUUUGCCAUGGAAACCAAACAAGUUCCCCCUUGCGUAUUGUCAGAGCGCUAAAGCCUUCCCCACUCGAUCUCCGUCCGCAGAGUGCGUGCAGAUGGCUGUAAGGUCAGUGGCCACCUCUGGAGGAGGAGGCAGCGAGGUCGGACACGCAGUGAAAAACGAAAGUGGAGAAAUGUAUUUAUCUAUUUUUUUUACAUCCAGUCCCAUGUGCUGCGCAGCUGUAUCGUGACCUGCUGCAAUCUCACAUUGAACCAAGUAAACCAGCUCCAGCUAAACGGCUGCAGCGCAUCUCUGUGUAUGUGCAUCCUGCUGCCAUGGAAACACCACAAACUUCAUCAGAGUCAAGCAGACAAGUCCUUGAUAUGCUAAGCAGACAGCAGGUUGCAAUAAACAACACUGCUGUACAAUGAAAAGCAAAAAACCCUCCACCAUUAUUCAUUUUUCUUUAUUCAUCUAUAUUUAGUAAUAUUUAAAUCACUUGCACACCUAUCUACAUUAUGGCUACAAUCAUAUUUACUCAUAUUUAACACUAUGGAUGGAGUAGCUUGUCAACUAAUAAGCAAUUUUCCUUUGGAGAUCAAUAAAGUUUAUUCUAGCCUAUUUUUUAAAGGUCUUUUUUUUUCAAAGUCUUCUGCCUCGAGACAAAAGCGUAUUGUCCGACUUUCCUUGAAGCAAUCUGCAUACAAAGGAGAGGCACUUAAAAAAAAAAAUAAAAAAAUAAAAAACACUGAAGAGGUUUCCUUUCACUAGCAUUUCCCAGAAAUGACUUCAGAGCUCCAAAAUCCUCCAAAAAAGUGUUACGAGAUUUUAUUAUGUGUGUGGGUUGGAGCAGAUGGGCCGGUGUAACGCAUGAGUGCUUUUUUUUUUUUUUCUCCUCCAACUUUCUUCUGCACAAAGUUACAGCACUCCGCUGCCACUGGAUUAUUAUUUUUUUUCUCUUUAACGGAGGGCGUAUCCUCUGUAUUUACAUUCUGGGCCAGAUAGAGGCACAGCCACAGAGGCGGUUUUGAAACGCAUUAAUUCACAAAUAUAUCGCUCUUGUAAAGGUGGACAAAUGCCAAUCUUUUGAAAGCAGCAACUGGGCACUUCAAAAACAGGGCCGCAGCUGAUGUUGAGGAGGAAAAGAUUAAAAAAAAAGAAAAAAAGAAAAAGCAUCACUUGUGUGUUACAUCUACACAGAAACAACACUACGUUUGUGAUGGAAAGCAGAAAUCUCAGUUGUUUCAUUUUCUGUUUCCAGGUGUCUGCUUUGGCUCCGGGUUUCGUUUAGCAAUCACAUCACAGCCGACUUGUGCUCCAGUUGCAUCCCAGAAGCCCGUCAUAAUCAUUGUUUAUUUCAGAGACCAGGCUGUCAAAAUAACCUACAAAGAAAAAAAUCCUAUUAUAACUCCACUGUGUGAUGCUUGACGUGGGUUGAGGAGGAACCAAAUGUCAACAGGGCAGAGGAAGACGCGUGAUGGAGAGCUGAUUCAGUGAUGAAACUGAAAACCAAACAGAAUCCAGCAGUGAAAGAAAGAAACCAAGGAGAUUGAAUGCUGUGGAUGUGUGGCAUGGCGAACCAGACGAGCUCAGGAGAAAACUAAACGGAGACGCAGAGGAUCUAACUAAACCCCAGGACCAAAAUCUACAUGAAGAGACGAGGGUGAAUGACAAAUGACUGCACCGACACGGACAGGCCCUGGUGACAAGAAAACUGAAAUGAUCUAAAUACAAAACACAAGUGGGAACAAAAGUGCAAAGAGCUGCGGAUCAUGACACACACCUAUUUAUGCAUUUAAGCGCUGAUGCAACACGUUUACCAGUACAAGUUGAACAGAUCUCAGCUACAGAGGGGAGACACGCUGACAGAUGCACAAAAAAAAUGUAAAGAGCUGCAGAAAUCCUCAUCAUGCAGAAGGAGGCCAUGUUGUUUUGUUUGAUGAGUUUUCAACUUUGGGUUUCUUCCAGUCGAUUCUGCUGAAGCUCUGACUGAAACUUUAAAUUGCACGCAACAAGAUUUACAAGUAGCAAUGCCGUAAAUAUUUAAAGCUUGAAAUUACAAAUCUGCUUCGCGUAAAAAAAUAAAAAUCACAGCGUUAGGGUUUCCGAGAAGACUUUUUCCCAAGAAGAAACUCUGACGCAAAUCCUGUUGCUGUCCUCAGAGUUUAAUUAAGCUCUCCCAAUUUUAAGUUAAAGUAGCAUAAUUAAAUCAAUGACACGUUCCAUUAAGUCCUGUAAGUCGUAUCAAGUAUAAUGUACCUAAUAUAGGUUCAUUUUAAUAUUUUGUACAAAAUAAUUAACCAGUAGGAUAGAACAUUUGAAAAGGAACAGAUUAAAAAGUUUUCCCCUUACAUCUUAAUAGAAAUAAACUAAGUAAGUUGCUGACAUAUUGGGGGGAAAAAAAUCUGUUGUAAGUAAAUGAAAGAGCUACAUUGAAGCAAUAAGGAGUCAAAUGAAGGAGGAACGUCCCGACAGAGUUGAAAACUCAAAUAUGAAUCAAGAUCCAGAACCAAAAUGAAAACUUGUAACCAGAACCAAGCAGGAAGCAAAGCGGCAGCAGAAUCGCACUCGGAAAAUAGAAAAACAACAAGAGUUGUGUGACUGCCGGACGAGUGACAGGUGAGCUGAUUGUUGUCGACGGGAGGUGAAACUUGAGAGAACCAAGGGAAUCUGAAGGCAGCAGAGAAUAAACAAAACCUACUCAAUACUGGAGAAGGUCAGUCAGAAAAGCAUACAAAACAUAACAUUGAGAAGAAAACCCUAACAUUACGUACGGCAAAACCGAGAAUCCGGUAACUUUACCCAGCUUCUAAAUCCUUUGAAAACCAGAUGACUUCUCUUUCCCAGAUUUUUCUACUUGAUACUUAAAGGAAAGUUUUUCUUGAUUUUACCAGACACAGUCCUUCCAUCAACACUGUCAUUUCAGCUCCAAAUAUACUCAAAUCCACCAGACAAUAUCAAACGCCUAUUGAUUACACAUGCGUCUUUGCAGCAAAUCUUCUAAUAGCGGAGAGAGUCUGUCGAGUUGUCUCUAAAGAUUGCGUCACAUUUCUAAGGACGGGGGAUGUGUGUGUUAGGCUGCUCAUCACUUGAAAUCACUUAUUGAGUUGGACAAUAAAUGAGCUGUAAGAAGCAACACAUUGGUAACUUACCACUUUACGCAGAGACGUUUGAACAAUACAGAUCGACACUACUGUGGGAGUGUACUGGCACUCUAACAACAUGCCUCUCAAUGUGGCCGAGUUCAGGGAAGAAUAGGAACGCAAUCCAGAAACGGUGGAACUCUGGUCGACGUUCUGUCGGAGGUAGUUACAGUUCUGCGCUGGCCGGUGCAAUAGUUUGCCAUGACGUGCGUUUUUUUUUUUUUUUUUCUGUGUUUGGAUUUUUCCUUUUGAUAAAGUUCCUGGGUGGCUAUUGGUGAACAUCUUUUGUCUGCAUUACGGUAAACGGUUGCAAGUUUACAAAAAAGAAAAAAAUAGAAAUAAAGCGUCACAUUACAGAUGGAAACUAAUCAGCUAAUCUGAGCUGUUCUCAUUAUGUUUGGGUCAGCACUUAGUUUCUAAAAUGCAAACAAACUGAAUUAUCUGGGCUAAUUUGAGUCCAUCGGAACCACAACCGUGAAGUUCCCCUUUGCGGCAAAGAACAAACCGAGACUAGAACCGAACCGGACGAGAACCAGUUAGAGUGAGACUCGACAAAAGAGAAAUGGCAUUGAGACUUUCUCCUGUGAGGACAAACAUGUUUUCCAGCGAGGGAGAUUCUGCCCCCAGCAUCACACUGCCCCCACCGAAACCCGUUGGAGAAUCUGGUGUACGUGAAAUGUUUUCGUUGGUGCAACAACCUGCAUGUUAAACUCAGAUCCUAAUGCAUUUUUCUUGCGAUGUGGCACCAUUUGAGAUGCACUGAUCCAAAAAAAAAAAAAAAGUCAACCAAACAAACACGUACUUUCUAAUGCAUGAAGUAUAUUCCCUAAAGAAACAGAACGAAGGGAUGAGACAGAAAACAAACAGCAGGCUUUUAAACACAUUGCAGGCACAGCAGAUGAAUAAUUCUAAGCCUGAACGUCUAUUCUUGCCUAAUUCAGAGUAAGACUUUCAGUGUCUUCUUCCGGUAACAUGAGCCAGACGCCUAAUUAGUAAAUGUCUAUAGUGUUCGUAGUCAAUCACCUACAUGGAGCAAAGUGAUAAUUAACACCUCAGUAAAGCCUCGCAUGUUACAGUCAGUUAUUCUGACCCGACUGGGAAUCUGUCUGUAAUUAAUGAAACACUUAACAAGUUGCUUGUCUUCUCUUAUGCAACUGGAAUCGAUAGCAUUCAAGAAAAAUACACACAUGUAAAAUGAGCCAACAUAUACAUUCUUUAGAUGGAGCAGAGAUUGAUUUUCUGCACGCACACACAAAAAAAAAGGAAAAGAAAAAGAUGAUGUAUGAACUACGCAGCUUUUUAUGUGAAGUUUCCAGCAUAUCCAAGACCUUAAGAAAAAAAUAACGCAGUGAUUAUAUAUGAGCCGGAGCAAGUUAAGAUUUUAGGUUAAAUAAAGAUUAUACGGAGUGAAAAUAAAUAAUGGGUAACAUAUGGCUUCCAACAGCACAGAACAUAAUGUUCUCUCGCUGACCAGACCAGAAACUCAGGACUGAUCCACACCGCAAGCAGCAGCUUUAAGGUUUAGGUGACCACUUACACACAAACACACACACACACACACACACACACACACACACACACACACACAUGCACACACAAUGUCAUCAGCUAUUUGACCUUUGAAACUCGUAUCAGACAUUACCCAAACUUUCUAUAUUUAAUGCUCAUUUGAAUGACUUCAUGUUUGUUAUUCCUUUAAAUCCCAGUUUCCUUUGCAGCUCAAUAUGUUCCACAGUGCAGACGACAUGCAAGCCAAAAGGAUGACAUUCAUCCAAACAUAGCAUCUGUCAGCCGUGACUAUAUCUAAUUGUCUGAUAUGGUAAUAAUUAUUUUAGCUGCUGAGGUGAAAAAAAAAUGAUGAAAAUAUAAUAGAAUCCUAUGAAAAAUGACUAUUAAUGCAAAGAUGCUCCAUAAAUGAGUAUAUACACAACAUCUGAUAUACAGCUUGACAGAAUAUAUUAAGAAUCACGAAGAGAAAAAUAACGCAUUAAAAAAAAAAAGCUAACACAAUAAUGUGGUGAAUUAACUUGAUGGUGAUUUCAGUCAGAAGUAGCAAAAUAGUAUUUAAUCUGCUGUAAAACAUACAGAAAAUAAGAAAAACAGAGAUACUCAAAAGGUUUAUUGUUAUUAGACGUGAAGCUAUUGUUUUUAUUGUUGUUGUAAAGCAAAUGAUGUGAAGUGGAAAGACUUGGUUAAACUAUUUGGAUGUUCCAGAGCCGGUCCAAGAUUUUAUGGGGCCCUUAAGCGACUUUGAUGUUGGGUUCCAGAUUCCAGAUUGCUUUAUUUCUUAAAUAAAUUACAGUAAAUAAACUUUUAGAAAAAAAUGUAUUUCUCUAACUUGCUGAUCUGUUUUCCAGACAGCAGUAUUUGAGGUAAGGUUGUUUUUUGUUUUUUUUUUUUGUUUUUUGUUUUUGUUUUUAAUAGCAACUAAAACCUCUAAAUGUUGCACAGUUUCAAGGUCAGA